rnacentral:rRNA from 1 species
UCGGGAAUUUUGGGCAAUGGGCGAAAGCCUGACCCAGCAACGCCGCGUGUGUGAAGAAGGCCUGAGGGUUGUAAAGCACUUUCAGAGGGGAGGAGGACUAUUAGGUUAAGAGCUAGAUAGUUGGACGUUACCCUCAGAAGCAGCACCGGCUAACUCCGUGCCAGCAGCCGCGGUAAUACGGGGGGUGCAAGCGUUAAUCGGAAUUACUGGGCGUAAAGCGCGUGUAGGCGGUCUUGUAAGUCGGAUGUGAAAUCCCCGGGCUCAACCUGGGAACUGCAUUCGAUACUGCUCGACUAGAGUAUGGAAGAGGGAAGCGGAAUUCCGGGUGUAGCGGUGAAAUGCGUAGAUAUCCGGAGGAACACCAGUGGCGAAGGCGGCUUCCUGGUCCAAUACUGACGCUGAGACGCGAAAGCGUGGGGAGCAAACAGGAUUAGAUACCCUAGUAGUCCCUGAGCGGGCUGGCAAGGCGCAU